rnacentral:rRNA from 1 species
GGCGGCGUGGAUAAGACAUGCAAGUCGAACGAGAGAAUUGCUAGCUUGCUAAUAAUUCUCUAGUGGCGCACGGGUGAGUAACACGUGAGUAACCUGCCCCCGAGAGCGGGAUAGCCCUGGGAAACUGGGAUUAAUACCGCAUAGUAUCGAAAGAUUAAAGCAGCAAUGCGCUUGGGGAUGGGCUCGCGGCCUAUUAGUUAGUUGGUGAGGUAACGGCUCACCAAGGCGAUGACGGGUAGCCGGUCUGAGAGGAUGUCCGGCCACACUGGAACUGAGACACGGUCCAGACACCUACGGGUGGCAGCAGUCGAGAAUCAUUCACAAUGGGGGAAACCCUGAUGGUGCGACGCCGCGUGGGGGAAUGAAGGUCUUCGGAUUGUAAACCCCUGUCAUGUGGGAGCAAAUUAAAAAGAUAGUACCACAAGAGGAAGAGGCGGCUAACUCUGUGCCAGCAGCCGCGGUAAUACAGAGGUCUCAAGCGUUGUUCGGAAUCACUGGGCGUAAAGCGUGCGUAGGCUGUUUCGUAAGUCGUGUGUGAAAGGCGCGGGCUCAACCCGCGGACGGCACAUGAUACUGCGAGACUAGAGUAAUGGAGGGGAAACCGGAAUUCUCGGUGUAGCAGUGAAAUGCGUAGAUAUCGAGAGGAACACUCGUGGCGAAGGCGGGUUCCUGGACAUUAACUGACGCUGAGGCACGAAGGCCAGGGGAGCGAAAGGGAUUAGAUACCCCUGUAGUCCUGGCAGUAAACGGUGCACGCUUGGUGUGCGGGGAAUCGACCCCCUGCGUGCCGGAGCUAACGCGUUAAGCGUGCCGCCUGGGGAGUACGGUCGCAAGAUUAAAACUCAAAGAAAUUGACGGGGACCCGCACAAGCGGUGGAGUAUGUGGCUUAAUUCGAUGCAACGCGAAGAACCUUACCUGGGCUUGACAUGUAAUGAACAACAUGUGAAAGCAUGCGACUCUUCGGAGGCGUUACACAGGUGCUGCAUGGCCGUCGUCAGCUCGUGUCGUGAGAUGUUUGGUUAAGUCCAGCAACGAGCGCAACCCCUGUUGCCAGUUACCAGCACGUGAAGGUGGGGACUCUGGCGAGACUGCCCAGAUCAACUGGGAGGAAGGUGGGGACGACGUCAGGUCAGUAUGGCCCUUAUGCCCAGGGCUGCACACGUACUACAAUGCCCAGUACAGAGGGGGCCGAAGCCGCGAGGCGGAGGAAAUCCUGAAAACUGGGCCCAGUUCGGACUGUAGGCUGCAACCCGCCUACACGAAGCCGGAAUCGCUAGUAAUGGCGCAUCAGCUACGGCGCCGUGAAUACGUUCCCGGGUCUUGUACACACCGCCCGUCACAUCAUGGAAGCCGGUCGCACCCGAAGUAUCUGAAGCCAACCGCAAGGAGGCAGGGUCCUAAGGUGAGACUGGUAACUGGGAUGAAGA